CCUACGGGAGGCAGCAGUGGGGGAUAUUGGACAAUGGGGGCAACCCUGAUCCAGCGACGCCGCGUGAGUGAAGAAGUCUUUCGGUAUGUAAAGCUCUGUCAGCAGGGAAGAAAGACAUGACGGUACCUGACCAAGAAGCCCCGGCUAACUACGUGCCAGCAGCCGCGGUAAUACGUAGGGGGCAAGCGUUAUCCGGAAUUACUGGGUGUAAAGGGAGCGUAGACGGUGAUGCAAGUCUGGAGUGAAAGGCGGGGGCCCAACCCCCGGACUGCUCUUGAAACUGUGGAACGUGAGUGCAGGAGAGGUAAGUGGAAUUCCUAGUGUAGCGGUGAAAUGCGUAGAUAUUAGGAGGAACACCAGUGGCGAAGGCGGCUUACUGGACUGUAACUGACGUUGAGGCUCGAAAGCGUGGGGAGCAAACAGGAUUAGAUACCCUAGUAGUC
rnacentral:rRNA from 1 species